rnacentral:rRNA from 1 species
UACGUAGGUGCAAGCGUUAUCCGGAUUUACUGGGUGUAAAGGGAGCGCAGGCGGCACGGCAAGCCUGAUGUGAAAGCCCGCGGCCCAACCGCGGGACUGCAUUGGGAACUACCGGGCUGGAGUGCCGGAGAGGUAGGCGGAAUUCCUAGUGUAGCGGUGAAAUGCGUAGAUAUAUGGAGGAACACCAGUGGCGAAGGCGACGAUCUGGCCUGCAACUGACGCUCAGUCCCGAAAGCGUGGGGAGCAAAUAGG